rnacentral:rRNA from 1 species
GACGAACGCUGGCGGUAUGCUUAACACAUGCAAGUCGAACGAGACGAGAUGGAAGGAUCCUUCGGGUGACGGAAAUCUUAGAAAGUGGCGAACGGGUGAAUAACGCGUGGGUAACCUGCCCUAUGGAAAGGAAUAGCCUCGGGAAACUGGGAGUAAUGCCUUAUAAUAUAGUGAAGUCGCAUGGCUUUACUAUUAAACGCUCCGGUGCCAUAGGAUGGACCCGCGUCCAAUUAGCUAGUUGGUGAGAUAACAGCCCACCAAGGCGACGAUGGGUAACCGGUCUGAGAGGGCGAACGGUCACACUGGAACUGAGACACGGUCCAGACUCCUACGGGAGGCAGCAGUGGGGAAUAUUGCGCAAUGGGGGAAACCCUGACGCAGCAAUACCGCGUGAGUGAAGAAAGUUUUCGGAUCGUAAAGCUCUGUUAUUGGGGAAGAAAAAAGACGGUACCCAAGAAGAAAGUCCCGGCUAACUACGUGCCAGCCGCCGCAGUAACAC